rnacentral:rRNA from 1 species
CCUACGGGUGGCUGCAGUAGGGAAUAUUGCUCAAUGGGGGAAACCCUGAAGCAGCAACGUCGCGUGGGGGAUGACGGUCCUCGGAUUUUAAACCCUCUUUGUUAGAGAAGAUAAUGACGGUACCUAACGAAUAAGCACCGGCUCACUCCGAGCCAGCAGCCGCGGUAAUCAGGCGGGUGCCAGCGUUACUCGGAAUCACUGGGCGUAAAGCGCGCGUAGGGGGGAUAGCAAGUCAGGUGUUAAAUCCUCUGGGUUAACCAUAGGACUGCAGUUGAAACUGUUGUUCUAGAGUUUGCGAGAGGUAGGUGGAAUGCUUGGUGUAGGGGUAAAAUGCAUAGAGAUCACGCAGAACACUGAUUGCGAAGGCGGCCUGCUGGAGCAUAACUGACGCUGAAGCACGAAAGCGUGGGGAGCGAACAGGAUUAGAUACCCUUGUAGUC